rnacentral:tRNA from 1 species
CUUAGCUCAGUCGGUUAGAGCAUCUGACUGUUAAUCAGAGGGUCCUUGGUUCAAGUCCAAGAG